UAGGGAAUCUUCGGCAAUGGACGAAAGUCUGACCGAGCAACGCCGCGUGAGUGAAGAAGGUUUUCGGAUCGUAAAACUCUGUUGUUAGAGAAGAACAAGGACGUUAGUAACUGAACGUCCCCUGACGGUAUCUAACCAGAAAGCCACGGCUAACUACGUGCCAGCAGCCGCGGUAAUACGUAGGUGGCAAGCGUUGUCCGGAUUUAUUGGGCGUAAAGCGAGCGCAGGCGGUUUCUUAAGUCUGAUGUGAAAGCCCCCGGCUCAACCGGGGAGGGUCAUUGGAAACUGGGAGACUUGAGUGCAGAAGAGGAGAGUGGAAUUCCAUGUGUAGCGGUGAAAUGCGUAGAUAUAUGGAGGAACACCAGUGGCGAAGGCGGCUCUCUGGUCUGUAACUGACGCUGAGGCUCUAAAGCGUGGGGAGCAAACAGG
rnacentral:rRNA from 2 species